rnacentral:rRNA from 1 species
GACGAACGCUGGCGGCGUGCUUAACACAUGCAAGUCGAACGCAAAGGCCUCUUUCGGGGGGUCCUCGUGUGGCGCACGGGGGAGUAACACGUGUAUAUCCCGCCCUUGACUUUGGGAUAACUUCAUUGAACUCGGGAGAUUAUCGCACAUAAGCUCCUGCUUCGUGUGAGGUGUUGUUAAAUUUGGGUGGUGGGGGAUGGACUCGCGGCCUAUCAGCUUGUUGGUUGGGUAGUGGCUUACCAAGUCUGUGAGGGGUAGCCAGCCCGAGAGGGUGAGCGGCCACCAUGGGACUGAGAGAGGGACCAGAAGGCUACCGGAGGCAAUAGUGGGGAGUAUUGCCCAAUGGGUGGGAGCCAGAUGCAGAAGCGCCGUGUGCGGAAAGACGGGCUUCGAGUUGUAAACCGGUUUCGCUCAUGAAGAAGCUUUGUGUGACGGUAGUGGGUAAAGAAGCAACGGCUAACUACGUG